AGGACCACUAUAGUCACCCAGACCACUUCAUUAAGACCCCUUAAAGGACCACUAUAGUCACCCAGACCACUUCAUCUUAAUGAAGUGGUCUGGGUGACUAUAGUGGUCCU